rnacentral:lncRNA from 1 species
AGGGUGAGGUCGCCUAGUUUGAACAUGUAUGUUUUGAGCCGUCAUUGACAAGAUCGUCAGCCCUGACAAACCUCACAGGCCUCACACAUCGGUACAAGUGAUGGCAAUGCUGUUGCUGCUGGUCAGCAGCAGCAGCAGCAGCAGACAGCUCCUCGAGCUUCUCGUUUUACUGACGGCCCUUUUGACGAGUCCGAUUCUGACGUUUCUGACGAUGAGUCCGCUUCUGAGCCUGCGCGUGCCCCUGGACAUUCUCAUGCCGAGGAACAGUAUCGAGAGCCUGGGAAGUCUAUGGAGUCUCAAGAUCCAUCUGGUCAGGGUUUCCUACUGCGUCUGCUUGGCAACUCUACCUUACUCCUCCUUGCUAUUUUAUU